rnacentral:tRNA from 1 species
UCCGGGGUAGCUCAGUUGGCAGAGCGUUCGACUGUUAAUCGAAAUGUCGCCGGUUCGAGCCCGGCCCCCGGAGCGA